rnacentral:antisense_RNA from 1 species
AAAGAUCGCAGCCUUCGGCAGCUCCUGCAGAGGAUGAUCAAUCUUCUGUAGGAGGGAGCUGCCGAAGGCUGCGAUCUUU